GUCAGGUCAGGCAUCUGUCUCCUAUAGAUCCAGGUCUCUAUCAUCUCAGCAGCUUAGCCAGCAGGUCAGGGGGUUCCAGGCAUCUGUCUCCUAUAGAUCCAGGUCCCUAUCAUCUCAGCAGCUUAGCCAGCAGGUCAGGUCAGGCAUCUGUCUCCUAUAGAUCCAGGUCUCUAUCAUCUCAGCAGUUUAGCCAGCAGGUCAGGUCAGGCAUCUGUCUCCUAGAGAUCCAGGUCCCUAUCAUCUCAGCAGCUUAGCCAGCAGGUCAGGGGUUCCAGGCAUCUGUCUCCUAUAGAUCCAGGUCUCUAUCAUCUCAGCAGCUUAGCUGUCAGGUCAGGCAUCUGUCUCCUAUAGAUCCAGGUCUCUAUCAUCUCAGCAGCUUAGCCAGCAGGUCAG
ensembl:lncRNA